ACGGGUGAGCAACGCGUGGGAAUCUACCCAUCUCUACGGAAUAACGCAUGGAAACGUGUGCUAAUACCGUAUACGUCCUUCGGGAGAAAGAUUUAUCGGAGAUGGAUGAGCCCGCGUUGGAUUAGCUAGUUGGUGGGGUAAAGGCCUACCAAGGCGACGAUCCAUAGCUGGUCUGAGAGGAUGAUCAGCCACACUGGGACUGAGACACGGCCCAGACUCCUACGGGAGGCAGCAGUGGGGAAUAUUGGACAAUGGGCGCAAGCCUGAUCCAGCCAUGCCGCGUGAGUGAUGAAGGCCCUAGGGUUGUAAAGCUCUUUCACCGGUGAAGAUAAUGACGGUAACCGGAGAAGAAGCCCCGGCUAACUUCGUGCCAGCAGCCGCGGUAAUACGAAGGGGGCUAGCGUUGUUCGGAUUUACUGGGCGUAAAGCGCACGUAGGCGGACUAUUAAGUCAGGGGUGAAAUCCCGGGGCUCAACCCCGGAACUGCCUUUGAUACUGGUAGUCUUGAGUUCGAGAGAGGUGAGUGGAAUUCCGAGUGUAGAGGUGAAAUUCGUAGA
rnacentral:rRNA from 1 species